rnacentral:rRNA from 1 species
AACGCGAAGAACCUUACCUGGGUUUGACAUGCACAGGACGCUGGUAGAGAUAUCAGUUCCCUUGUGGUCUGUGUGCAGGUGGUGCAUGGCUGUCGUCAGCUCGUGUCGUGAGAUGUUGGGUUAAGUCCCGCAACGAGCGCAACCCUUGUCUCAUGUUGCCAGCGGGUAAUGCCGGGGACUCGUGAGAGACCGCCGGUGACAAGCCGGAGGAAGGUGGGGAUGACGUCAAGUCAGCAUGGCCCUUACGUCCAGGGCUACACACGUGCUACAAUGGGAUGGACAGCGAGUCGCGAACCCGCGAGGGCAAGCUAAUCUCUCAAACCAUUUCCUCAGUUCGGAUUGAAGGCUGCAACUCGCCUUCAUGAAGUCGGAAUCGCUAGUAACCGCAGAUCAGCUACGCUGCGGUGAAUACGUUCCCGGGCCUUGUACACACCGACAUA